rnacentral:ncRNA from 1 species
GCCGGGGGACGACCCCACGGCCGGGACGAUCGCCCGCGAGGACGGCCUCG